rnacentral:rRNA from 1 species
GACGAACGCUGGCGGCGUGCUUAACACAUGCAAGUCGAACGGAAAGGCCCUGCUUUUGUGGGGUGCUCGAGUGGCGAACGGGUGAGUAACACGUGAGUAACCUGCCCUUGACUUUGGGAUAACUUCAGGAAACUGGGGCUAAUACCGGAUAGGAGCUCCUGCUGCAUGGUGGGGGUUGGAAAGUUUCGGCGGUUGGGGAUGGACUCGCGGCUUAUCAGCUUGUUGGUGGGGUAGUGGCUUACCAAGGCUUUGACGGGUAGCCGGCCUGAGAGGGUGACAGGCUCCAUUGGGACUGAGAUACGGCACAGCCUCCUACGGGAGGCAGCAGUGGGGAAUAUUGCACAAUGGGAGGAAGCAUGAUGUAGCAACGCCGCGUGGGGGAUGACGGCCUUCGGGUUGUAAACCGCUUUCGCCUGUGACGAAGCGUGAGUGACGGUAAUGGGUAAAGAAGCACCGGCUAACUACGUG